rnacentral:rRNA from 1 species
GACGAACCGUACGAACGUUAUUCGGAAUUACUGGGCUUAAAGGGUGCGUAGGCGGCGCAGUAAGUUGGGUGUGAAAUCCCUCGGCUUAACCGAGGAAUUGCGCCCAAAACUACUGUGCUCGAGGGAGAUAGAGGUGAGCGGAACUUAGGGUGGAGCGGUGAAAUGCGUUGAUAUCCUAAGGAACACCGGUGGCGAAAGCGGCUCACUGGAUCUCUACUGACGCUGAGGCACGAAAGCCAGGGUAGCAAACGGG